GACGAAGGAUGCAAGCGUUAUCCGGAUUCAUUGGGUUUAAAGGGAGCGUAGGUGGACUUGUAAGUCAGUGGUGAAAUCUCUCAGCUUAACUGAGAAACUGCCAUUGAUACUGCAGGUCUUGAGUACAGAUGAUGUGGGCGGAAUAUGACAUGUAGUGGUGAAAUACUUAGAUAUGUCAUAGAACACCGAUUGCGAAGGCAGCUCACAAAACUGUAACUGACACUGAGGCUCGAAAGUGCGGGGAUCAAAC
rnacentral:rRNA from 1 species